rnacentral:rRNA from 1 species
ACGCUGAAGGCUCAGCUUGCUGGGCUGGAUGAGUGGCGAACGGGUGAGUAACACGUGAGUAACCUGCCCUCUUCUUUGGGAUAACGGUCGGAAACGGCUGCUAAUACCGGGUAUUCACUGUCCUUCGCAUGGGGGGUGGUGGAAAGGUUUUUUCUGGUGGGGGAUGGGCUCGCGGCCUAUCAGCUUGUUGGUGGGGUGAUGGCUUACCAAGGCUUUGACGGGUAACCGGCCUGAGAGGGUGACCGGUCACAUUGGGACUGAGAUACGGCCCAGACUCCUACGGGAGGCAGCAGUGGGGAAUAUUGCACAAUGGGCGAAAGCCUGAUGCAGCGACGCCGCGUGAGGGAUGAAGGCCUUCGGGUUGUAAACCUCUUUCGCUCAUGGUCAAGCCGCAACUCAAGGUUGUGGUGAGGGUAGUGGGUAAAGAAGCACCGGCUAACUACGUGCCAGCAGCCGCGGUAAUACGUAGGGUGCGAGCGUUGUCCGGAAUUAUUGGGCGUAAAGGGCUUGUAGGCGGUUUGUCGCGUCUGCCGUGAAAUCCUCUGGCUUAACUGGGGGCGUGCGGUGGGUACGGGCAGACUUGAGUGCGGUAGGGGAGACUGGAACUCCUGGUGUAGCGGUGGAAUGCGCAGAUAUCAGGAAGAACACCGGUGGCGAAGGCGGGUCUCUGGGCCGUUACUGACGCUGAGGAGCGAAAGCGUGGGGAGCGAACAGGAUUAGAUACCCUGGUAGUCCACGCUGUAAACGUUGGGCACUAGGUGUGGGGGCCACCCGUGGUUUCUGCGCCGUAGCUAACGCUUUAAGUGCCCCGCCUGGGGAGUACGGCCGCAAGGCUAAAACUCAAAGGAAUUGACGGGGGCCCGCACAAGCGGCGGAGCAUGCGGAUUAAUUCGAUGCAACGCGAAGAACCUUACCAAGGCUUGACAUGCACGGCGGCACUGCAGAGAUGUGGUGGCAUUUAGUUGGUCGUGUGCAGGUGGUGCAUGGUUGUCGUCAGCUCGUGUCGUGAGAUGUUGGGUUAAGUCCCGCAACGAGCGCAACCCUUGCCCUAUGUUGCCAGCACGUUAUGG